GUGGUACUCCCUCCGUUCGAAAAAACUUGUCCCAAGCUUAUCCCUUAAAUGGAUGUAUCUAGCACUAAUUUGAUGUUAAAUACAUUUAUUUGGGGGACAGGCUUUUUCGGACGGAGGGGGUAUGGA
rfam:Triticum urartu cultivar G1812 contig495117, whole genome shotgun sequence.